rnacentral:rRNA from 1 species
UACAGAGGUCUCAAGCGUUGUUCGGAUUCAUUGGGCGUAAAGGGUGCGUAGGUGGCGGGGUAAGUCAGGUGUGAAAUCUCGGAGCUCAACUCCGAAACUGCACUUGAUACUGCCUUGCUUGAGUACUGGAGAGGAGAUUGGAAUUUACGGUGUAGCAGUGAAAUGCGUAGAUAUCGUAAGGAAGACCAGUGGCGAAGGCGAAUCUCUGGACAGUUACUGACACUGAGGCACGAAAGCUAGGGGAGCAAACAGG